rnacentral:rRNA from 1 species
GACGAACGCUGGCGGCGUGCCUAAUACAUGCAAGUUGAGCGCUGAAGGUUGGUACUUGUACCAACUGGAUGAGCAGCGAACGGGUGAGUAACGCGUGGGGAAUCUGCCUUUGAGCGGGGGACAACAUUUGGAAACGAAUGCUAAUACCGCAUAAAAACUUUAAACACAAGUUUUAAGUUUGAAAGAUGCAAUUGCAUCACUCAAAGAUGAUCCCGCGUUGUAUUAGCUAGUUGGUGAGGUAAAGGCUCACCAAGGCGAUGAUACAUAGCCGACCUGAGAGGGUGAUCGGCCACAUUUGGACUGAGACACGGCCCAAACGCCUACGGGAAGCAGCAGUAGGGAAUCUUCGGCAAUGGACGAAAGUCUGACCGAGCAACGCCGCGUGAGUGAAGAAGGGUUUCGGAUCGUAAAACUCUGUUGGUAGAGAAGAACGUUGGUGAGAGUGGAAAGCUCAUCAAGUGACGGUAACUACCCAGAAAGGGACGGCUAACUACGUG